AUUGAACGCUGGCGGCAGGCCUAACACAUGCCAGUCGAGCGGAUGAAGGGAGCUUGCUCCUGGAUUCAGCGGCGGACGGGUGAGUAAUGCCUAGGAAUCUGCCUGGUAGUGGGGGAUAACGUCCGGAAACGGGCGCUAAUACCGCAUACGUCCUGAGGGAGAAAGUGGGGGAUCUUCGGACCUCACGCUAUCAGAUGAGCCUAGGUCGGAUUAGCUAGUUGGUGGGGUAAAGGCCUACCAAGGCGACGAUCCGUAACUGGUCUGAGAGGACGAUCAGUCACACUGGAACUGAGACACGGUCCAGACUCCUACGGGAGGCAGCAGUGGGGAAUAUUGGACAAUGGGCGAAAGCCUGAUCCAGCCAUGCCGCGUGUGUGAAGAAGGUCUUCGGAUUGUAAAGCACUUUAAGUUGGGAGGAAGGGCAGUAAGUUAAUACCUUGCUGUUUUGACGUUACCAACAGAAUAAGCACCGGCUAACUUCGUG
rnacentral:rRNA from 1 species